AUGAAAAAGAGACAAGUGGUGGUGGUGGUGAAAAGCAAUAGUUCGUCUUCAAGAAAUGUUGUUAGAUAUGGAGAGUGUCAGAAGAAUCAUGCUGCUUCCAGUGGAGGAUAUGCUGUUGAUGGCUGUAUGGAGUUCAUGGCUAGUUCUGGAGAAGACGCACUUACAUGUGCUGCUUGUGCUUGUCAUAGGAACUUCCACAAAAGAAAAGUGGAAACUGCAGAUUGA